rnacentral:rRNA from 1 species
AUUGAACGCUGGCGGCAGGCCUAACACAUGCAAGUCGAGCGGAUGAAGGGAGCUUGCUCCUGGAUUCAGCGGCGGACGGGUGAGUAAUACCUAGGAAUCUGCCUGGUAGUGGGGGAUAACGUCCGGAAACGGGCGCUAAUACCGCAUACGUCCUGAGGGAGAAAGUGGGGGAUCUUCGGACCUCACGCUAUCAGAUGAGCCUAGGUCGGAUUAGCUAGUUGGUGGGGUAAAGGCCUACCAAGGCGACGAUCCGUAACUGGUCUGAGAGGAUGAUCAGUCACACUGGAACUGAGUCACGGUCCAGACUCCUACGGGAGGCAGCAGUGGGGAAUAUUGGACAAUGGGCGAAAGCCUGAUCCAGCCAUGCCGCGUGUGUGAAGAAGGUCCUCGGAUUCUAAAGCACUUUAAGUUGGGAGGAAGGGCAGUAAGUUAAUACCUUGCUGUUUUGACGUUACCAACAGAAUAAGCACCGGCUAACUUCGUG